AUGUAAAAGUCGUAACAAGGUCUCCGUUGGUGAACCAGCGGAG
rnacentral:rRNA from 1 species